GAUGAACGCUGGCGGCGUGCCUAACACAUGCAAGUCGAGCGGCAGCGAGGGGUGCUUGCACCCUGUCGGCGAGCGGCGGACGGCUGAGUAACGCGUGGGAACGUGCCCCAAAGUGAGGAAUAACUGCCCGAAAGGGUAGCUAAUACCGCAUAUUAUCUUCGGAUCAAAGGAUUUAUCCGCUUUGGGAGCGGCUCGCGUCGGAUUAGGUAGUUGGUGAGGUAAUGGCUCACCAAGCCGACGAUCCGUAGCUGGUCUGAGAGGAUGACCAGCCAGACUGGAACUGAGACCCGGUCCCGACUCCUACGGGAGGCAGCAGUGAGGAAUCUUCCCCAAUGGGCGAAAGCCUUAUGGAGCAACGCCGCGUGCAGGACGAAGGCCUUCGGGUUGUAAACUGCUUUUAUAAGUGAGGAAUAUGACGGUAACUUAUGAAUAAGGAUCGGCUAACUACGUG
rnacentral:rRNA from 1 species